CCUACGGGUGGCUGCAGUGGGGAAUAUUGGACAAUGGGCGAAAGCCUGAUCCAGCCAUGCCGCGUGUGUGAAGAAGGCCUUCGGGUUGUAAAGCACUUUCAGUGGGGAAGAAAGCCUUGGGGCUAAUACCCUCGAGGAAGGACAUCACCAACAGAAGAAGCACCGGCUAACUCCGUGCCAGCAGCCGCGGUAAUACGGAGGGUGCGAGCGUUAAUCGGAAUUACUGGGCGUAAAGCGCGCGUAGGCGGUCUGAUAAGCCGGUUGUGAAAGCCCCGGGCUCAACCUGGGAACGGCAUCCGGAACUGUCAGGCUAGAGUGCAGGAGAGGAAGGUAGAAUUCCCGGUGUAGCAGUGAAAUGCGUAGAGAUCGGGAGGAAUACCAGUGGCGAAGGCGGCCUUCUGGACUGACACUGACGCUGAGGUGCGAAAGCGUGGGUAGCAAACAGGAUUAGAUACCCGGGUAGUC
rnacentral:rRNA from 1 species